rnacentral:rRNA from 1 species
UACGUAGGGAGCAAGCGUUGUCCGGAAUCAUUGGGCGUAAAGCGCGCGUAGGCGGCUCGAUCAGUCUGUUGUGAAAGUCAAAGGCUCAACCUUUGAAUGCCGAUGGAUACUGUCGAGCUAGAGUCCGGAAGAGGCGGGUGGAAUUCCUGGUGUAGCGGUGGAAUGCGCAGAUAUCCGGAGGAACACCAACGGCGAAGGCAGCCCGCUGGGACGGUACUGACGCUAAGGCGCGAAAGCGUGGGGAGCGAACAGG